CCUGGUUGAUUCUGCCAGUAGCAUAUGCUUGUCUCAAAGAUUAAGUCAUGCAAGUAUAAGUACAUACAUCCAGUACAGUGAAACUGCAAAUGGCUCCUUAAAUCAGUUAUGGUUCCUUUGAUCGCUCCAUCUGUUACUUGGAUAACUGUGGUAAAUCUAGUACUAAUAUCUGCCGACGAGCGUUGACCUCCCAGGAUGCAAACAUUUAUCAGACCAUGAGCAAUCUGGGCACUCCCAUCCACUUUGGUGACUCUAGAUAACCUUGGGCCAUUCACACAUCCCUGUGACAGCGAUGAUGCAUUUGGUUGUCUGCCCUAUCAACUUUAGAUGGUACUUUCUGUGCCUACAAUGGUGACCACGUGUAACAGGGAAUCAGGGUUCAAUUCAGGAGUGGGAGCCUGACAAAUGGCUGCAAUACCCAAGGAAGGCAGCCGCGGCGCUAAUUUCCCACUCCCUACUUGGGGAGGUUUUGACAAUAGAGGGCUCUUUGGAGGCCCUAUAAUUGGAAUGAGUACACUUUAAAUCCUUUAACAAGGUUCCAUUGGAGGAUAAGUCUGAUGCCGGCAGCCAUAGUAAUUCCAGCUCCAAUAGCGUAUAUUAAAGUUGCUGCAGUUAAGGAGCUUGUAGUUGAAUCUUGGGAACGAGUUGAUGGUCCGCAGCCAGGCGAGCUACCACCUGCCCCAGCCCCUGCCUCUCGGCAACCCCCUUGAUUCUCUUGACUGAGUGUCCUGGGUGUCUGAAGCGUUUACUUUGAAAAUAUUACAGUGUCAAAGCAGGCCGGUCACCUGAAUACUUCAGCUAGGAAUAGUGGAAUAGGACUCUGGUUUAUUUUGUUGGUUUUCAGAACCUGGGCCAUGAUUUAAAGGAUGGCCGGUGGCAUUCAUAUUGUGCCACUGAAGGUGAAAUUUUUGGAAAGGCGCAAGACGAACCAAAGUGAAAGCAUUUGCCAAGAAUGUUUUAAUUGAUGAAGAACAAAAGUCAGAGGUUCGAAGACAAUCAAUACCGUCGUAGUUCCGACCAUAAACAAUGCUGACUUGCGAUCCGGCAGUGUUUUUUCCAUGACCACCGACAUCUUCUGGGAAACCAAGGUCUUUGGCUUCCAGGGGGAGUAUGGUUGCAAAGCUGAAACUUAAAGGGAUGGAAGGGCACCACCAGGAGUGAAGCCUGUGGCUUAAUUUGACUCAGCAUGGGAAACCUCACCCGGCCACAGAAAGGAUUGACAAAUUGAUAGAUCUUUCCCGAUUGUGUGGUGUUGUGCAUGGCCAUUGUUAGUUAGUGGAGUGAUUUUCUGGUCAAUUCUGAUAAAAAACAAGUCUCCUCCAUGCUAACUAGUUAUGUGACCCCCCAGCCAUCAGCGUUCAACAGGGACGAGUGGCAUUCAGCCACACAAGAUUGAGCAAUAACAGGUCUGUGAUGCCCGUAAAUGUGAAGAGCUGCACGCGCACUGCGCUGAAUGAUCAGCAUGUGUCUACCCUUUGCCGACACAUGCGGGUAACCUGCUGAAACCCAUUUGUGAUACGGAUUGGGGAUUGCAAUUAUUUCCCAUGAAUGAGGAAUUCCCCUUAAGUGUGGGUCAUAAGCUCAACGUUGAUUAAGUCCCUGCCCUUUGCACACACCGCUCGUUGCUACUAUCGAUUGGAUGGUUUAGUGAGGUCCUCGGAUUGGCCCAGCCAGGGUCGGCAACAGCCCUGAUGGAGCACCAAGAAGAUGAUCAAACUUGAUUACCUAAUAGUAAAAGUUAUAACAAGGUUUCCACAGGUGAACAUGUGGAAG
rnacentral:rRNA from 1 species